rnacentral:lncRNA from 1 species
GCGCUUUUCAAAGUUUUUCGCCUUUGACAACACUAAUCCCAAAAGCUAGUUCAUCAGUUGAAGAUUGUCCAAGACAAUAUAAGGAGACCGAAUACCCACCCCACAACCGAUUGGGACAAACUCAAUAGGACUUUAGUCAUUUACUAGCCAUAACUUAACACCAUGAAAUGAAAAUAACGAAAAAAUACUUUAUUGACUCCCUUGUAUAUAAUAAUACCUUACAAGAGGGGAAUCAAUUCGCUUUUGCUUCUGUUCCUUCAGCUUUGCCCGGUAUAAUGCUCUCUUGUCCAUUGCAAUAUUCUGUGUUAAUACAGCACCAAAAAUCCAGUCAGAAUAAAACCCAAAAAACAAAUUAAUUCAAUAACAAAGCACCCGUUUUUUCUAACUUUCAUCUGAGAAAAAUAUACUGUAAAUAACUGGCCAGCAAGUUGCAAAGUUUUCACCAAAAAGACAAACAAAAAAAGAACUCCAAUUCAGUAAACGAAACACCAAAAAAAAGAAUAUAUAUAAUCAAAAAAAAAAAAAAAAGCUUCAGCUAAUUCUCAUUUGGAAAAUAACAAUUGUCUAAAUGGCCUGAAAAAAUUCAGCAAACCCUUUCUACUUGUAAAUACAGUAAGAUUUAGUCCAGCUACUCAGAAACCAAAAAGGUAAAAAGAAUUAAAAUAAACACCUUUUGCUAAUUUUCAUCUAAGUAAAACAAAAAAGUGCAUAAAUGCAACAAAUUUUCAGCAAAAUCCCUGCUCAAUUGGGAAACAAAACUAAUUAUUAAACCUUUUAGCCAACAAAAAGUAUGUCCACUUCAACUUCAUUGAGCUGAAAUUCAGUGCUCAGAUUAAAAAAAAAUACUUACUUGCAAAUACCAGAAUCUACGUUAGGGUUAAUAGAUUAUCGCGCUUUUAUCUUGUGGGAUUCAAUUCUCUGCUUCGUAAAUUCGAAUUGGGUUUUCCUGUUUCUAUUUUGGUUCGAGUGAAAGGAGGGGGUGGGGUUAAAAUUUGGUUUUGGGGUUCGGUCCCCAACUUAUGGAGUGACUUUACAUUUAGA